rnacentral:sRNA from 6 species
ACUCAACAAUAAUCAUUUAAAAAGAAUGAGUCUAAGUUGUUAAAGCGCGCUAGCUAGACUAGAUACUUAAGCGACUUGUUAAUUCUAAUCCUGUUUAACUGGGGUUU